rnacentral:lncRNA from 1 species
UAGUGUUAAUCUGUCUGUUCUCCUCCAGGGCCAGUAGUGUUAAUCUGUCUGUUCUCCUCCAGGCCAGUAGUGUUAAUCUGUCUGUUCUCCUCCAGACCAGUAGUGUUAAUCUGUCUGUUCUCCUCCAGGCCAGUAGUGUUAAUCUGUCUGUUCUCCUCCAGACCAGUACCCAGUAGUGUUAAUCUGUCUGUUUCUCCUCCAGACCAGUACCCAGUAGUGUUAAUCUGUCUGUUCUCCUCCAGACAGUACCCAGUAGUGUUAAUCUGUCUGUUCUCCUCCAGACCAGUAGUGUUUAAUCUGUCUGUUCUCCUCCAGACCAGUACCCAGU